GGCAUCUAUCUCUCAUAGACCACACUGUAUUGAAAUGAUUUGUUUCUACUAUUUCCCCAUCUACCCUAUAAACUUUUGGAUGGACAGUGUAGUCUUCCCCCUUGUUAGAAUGCCUAGUACCUAGCAGAAUGCUAAAUAACUAUAACUGAAUGAAGUGACAAAUAUGUAUAAAAGCAUUUGGAUUUAUUAACUGGUAGAUAUUUAUAUAUAUUUUUUAAACUAAGCAAAACUAACAGUGAUCUGAGGUGAAUAUACUAGGAGAUGUUUACAGAAGACAAAAGAAUGGGCUCUAUUGAAUUUUCUCAGCUGUCCCAAAGCUUGUUGACUAUUACUUGCUAGAAAGUAACUUUUGAAUACUAUUUGUACCUGCCCUAGACACAUCUACAAUGCCUUUAUUGGGAAUUCUGCUAAAUUAAGAUUCUCUUUAGAAUUUUCUGAGUUACUUAGCUUUUGCUUAACUUAGCUAAGUCAAUCUGUGGCUUUUCUGCAUUCCCAUUUUUAACCUCUUGAAAAUAAGAUUGUUCUAUUCUCUUGUUGUUUAGGGUUAAGGGAGGUCCCAUUCUUAGUUGUGACACAUUUUUUUGCAAUGCUGGAGAUUGAACCCAGGGCCUUGGCAUAUGCUAGACAAGCACUUUGCCUCUGAGCUACACCUCCAGCCCUGCAAGUGACACUUUGAGUAGAAGAAGGGGUGAACUUGAUCUUUUUCAAAAGCUUGGUCCAGAGGUACCCAGAAAAGUCUUCUUAGAACACUGGCCAGGGUUUGGUAAACUCAGAAAUCUAAAUAGUCUAAAAUUCCUGGAUUGCCAUGGAUCUGGAAGGCAAUAACUCUAAGAAAGCUCUAAAAUAAUCUCAUCUCUCCAAAAUGCUCAGAAAUAAGAAUGACAGAUUGUUGGAAAUCAGAGCCUCAUGAUGGAUGGAGAAAAUCAGAUGCCCC
rnacentral:lncRNA from 1 species